AGUGAACGCUGGCGGUAGGCCUAACACAUGCAAGUCGAACGGCAGCACAGUAAGAGCUUGCUCUUACGGGUGGCGAGUGGCGGACGGGUGAGGAAUACAUCGGAAUCUACUUUUUCGUGGGGGAUAACGUAGGGAAACUUACGCUAUUACCGCAUACGACCUACGGGUGAAAGCAGGGGAUCUUCGGCUCUUGCGCGAUCGAAUGAGCCGAUGUCGGAUUAGCUAGUUGGCGGGGUAAAGGCCCACCAAGGCGACGAUCCGUAGCUGGUCUGAGAGGAUGAUCAGCCACACUGGAACUGAGACACGGUCCAGACUCCUACGGGAGGCAGCAGUGGGGAAUAUUGGACAAUGGGCGCAAGCCUGAUCCAGCCAUACCGCGUGGGUGAAGAAGGCCUUCGGGUUGUAAAGCCCUUUUGUUGGGAAAGAAAAGCAGCAGGUUAAUACCCCGCUGUUCUGACGGUACCCAAAGAAUAAGCACCGGCUAACUUCGUG
rnacentral:rRNA from 1 species